GGGGGCCGCACAGCUGACAGCAGCCCCCUCAGCCCAGCAGGCAUGUGGGUCAGGGCGCCACGCUGGGGAAGGUGGGCAGAUGGCAUCCCGCGCUCCCAGGCCUGCUUGGGUGGAGACAGCUCGGGAGGCUCGGGCUUCAGGAGCUGGGGAGGGGCAGCCACAGUCUGCACGGGGAGGGAGCCCCACCAACGGGGUCAGGGAGCGCCCCAGCGGAGAGCCCCGGUAGCCGUGGAGACCAAGGCAGAGCAGCCCGGAAGGAUGGCAGCCCCAGGGGAGCAGACCACGACCCAGCGCCCAGGAAGAAAGGGUCUCAGCAGAGGGGGUCUCGCUGCCGACGCGUGACACAAACAGAACGGGCCGGUGACGAGUGCAGCGCACCCAGGGCAGGAGAGGGCUGCGCUCCUGCGCCCGCCUUCCAGCUGAACACUGAGGAGCAGGGCUGCGCUGUCCUCGGAGCAGAGCAGCGAGGGGCUGGCCCACAGCCUGGCUGCAGGGGACAGCAGCAAGGAUCCGACGCUCUCGGAUGCCAAGCUAGCUGUGUGUAGUCCUGCUGCACCCGCGAUCCAGGAGCAGAGCUCUGGAUACAGUGCACUGCCUGCUUCCGGCGCCUCGGCCACAGCCAGCCACAACCAGCCUGGGCACCGCCCACCACCGCUCCAAGUCCCGGCGCUCCUCAGGCUGACUGGGAAGGCCUCUUCGAGGGGGCAGGGAAAGGGAGAGGGGAGGGAGAGAGAGCGAGCGCCUGUGCUGGUGCAGGGCAGAGGCUGUGGAGGCACUCGGCAGUUCUUGGGGCAUCAGGAAAGGAAAGGUCAGCAGCACUGGGGAUCCAUGCAGGGGUCCUGUCUCCACAGCAGUUCAAGGAAAACACAGAAAACAAACACGAAAAGCCAUGUGGGGCUCUGGUCAGUCACAAGACAGAGGUCUCUUGGGGCUCUGAAACUGACCUUCGCUGCUCGCUGCUCCAUGCUAGCUGCUCAGACACAGCUCAGGCACAGCAGAGCAUCGGCUCACAGCCCUGCCUCCCGCCCAUCUGCAGUAAGGUCCUCCGCUGGGAUGCUGGGCUUGGGACCUCCUCUGUGGACGCACCUGCCAAUGAGCCAUCCCCUCUUCAGAAGGAUGGGGCGCCCAAGCCCUCCUGCCCGGGGCCCCACGUCAGGGAGAGUGUAGCUGGGCAGGGGAGGUGGUGCACAGCAACACCCCUCCCUCCAGGGUGCCCCUGGGGUCUCAGAGGAAGCAGAGGGAGUCCAGACAGAGCUGAGUGCCACGACCUCUCCUGGUGCCCGAAGGCUCUGGGGGGCAGCAGGCGGGGAGGGGCAUGGUGUGGCCAGAUGAGGGACCUCCAGGGCCACCUGCUGUCUGCCUCUCAGCCCAGCGCUGCAGGCAGGGAGGCUUUGCCCAGGUGCCAGGGAGGCCUAGCGGGAUGGAGCAGGG
rnacentral:lncRNA from 1 species